GAUUAAGGUUCGAUUCGAGCGCAGCGAGAAAGCGUUGCCGCAGGCAACGACCCGAAGGGCGAAGCGCGCAGCGCUGAGUCAUCCUUCCCCCACCACCA
rnacentral:sRNA from 3 species